AAACGUGUUUUAACGGUAACAUUAUCGGUGGUUCCCUUUUUUUGUCCUGUCUCCAUCAAAGCCUAUGGAGACCAAAAACGAACCCCUGACCACCUGCUAGAAGCUCUCUCUUCCACUGGAGUCGCGGUGGUACAUAUCAGAUCUGAAAGCACGUGCGCGCUCAUGUACAAGGAUAUGGUGAAAUGGCGAGAGGAUAAUCUUCCUCCGGCUACAAUGAUGAUCAUAACCAAUCAGAUGCUAGAUGUCUUCCAUUGGGAUCUGGCCCGGCUUCAACAACGCACGCGGAAACAAAUAACAAUAAAUUGCAAGCGGAAACAACCAUAACAAUAAGCAUCAUUUAUUUUAGAUAGCUUACUCUCAAUGGAGUAAAAGUUGAAUACACAUGAUAGAUAUAACAAGGCAGGCACCCCGGUUAAGUGGGAAACAAGGAUACGUAAAGAAGUCUGAGAGGCCAAUGUUUAUAAACGCCAAAAAAAAAAAAAAAAAAAA